UACAGAGGUCUCAAGCGUUGUUCGGAUUCAUUGGGCGUAAAGGGUGCGUAGGCGGCGCGGUAAGUCGGGUGUGAAAUCUCGGAGCUUAACUCCGAAACUGCAUUCGAUACUGCCGUGCUUGAGGACUGGAGAGGAGACUGGAAUUUACGGUGUAGCGGUGAAAUGCGUAGAUAAUCGUAAGGAAGACCAGUGGCGAAGGCGGGUCUCUGGACAGUUCCUGACGCUGAGACACGAAGGCCAGGGGAGCAAACGGG
rnacentral:rRNA from 1 species